rnacentral:tRNA from 1 species
AUAGCGCAGUUGGUUAGAGUGUGGUGCUGAUAACGCCGAGGUUGCAGGUUCGAUCCCUGUAUA